ACGUAGGGUGCGAGCGUUAAUCGGAAUUACUGGGCGUAAAGCGUGCGCAGGCGGCUUUGUAAGACGGAUGUGAAAUCCCCGGGCUCAACCUGGGAACUGCAUUUGUGACUGCCUAGCUAGAGUUUGUCAGAGGGGGGUGGAAUUCCACGUGUAGCAGUGAAAUGCGUAGAGAUGUGGAGGAACACCGAUGGCGAAGGCAGCCCCCUGGGUCGACACUGACGCUCAUGCACGAAAGCGUGGGGAGCAAACAG
rnacentral:rRNA from 1 species